AAUAGAUACCCUGGUAGUCCACGCCGUAAACGAUGAGUGCUAAGUGUUAGGGGGUUUCCGCCCCUUAGUGCUGCAGCUAACGCAUUAAGCACUCCGCCUGGGGAGUACGGUCGCAAGACUGAAACUCAAAGGAAUUGACGGGGGCCCGCACAAGCGGUGGAGCAUGUGGUUUAAUUCGAAGCAACGCGAAGAACCUUACCAGGUCUUGACAUCCCGCUGACCGCUAUGGAGACAUAGCCUUCCCUUCGGGGACAGCGGUGACAGGUGGUGCAUGGUUGUCGUCAGCUCGUGUCGUGAGAUGUUGGGUUAAGUCCCGCAACGAGCGCAACCCUUGUCCUUAGUUGCCAUCAUUCAGUUGGGCACUCUAAGGAGACUGCCGUACAAAUACGGAGGAAGGUGGGAAUGACGUCAAAUCAUCAUGCCCCUUAUGACCUGGGCUACACACGUGCUACAAUGGACGGUACAAACGGUUGCGAAGUCGCGAGACGGAGCCAAUCCGAGAAAGCCGUUCUCAGUUCGGAUUGCAGGCUGA
rnacentral:rRNA from 1 species